CAUAAAUGGGUAUAAACUAUGGUAUAACACUAAACACUGGAGUUAUUUUAAAACAGAACAAAAGACGCAGAACAUUCCAGAACGAACUGGAGGCGAUGCCAUUGGACGAACAGACCGAGCAUAGACUUUUUACAAAUAAAAACAAAAACACUCAUAAAAGACACAUGUUGGCAUAUUUGCAAACUGAAUGCACGUGGCAAAUACUGGGAUACCUUCGUUUGCUGUUUAUUUCUUUUACUAUAGUAUGUAAUUGAAUUUAAACUACAGAUUCCCGAGUACUGGUGUUUUGUUUCAAGCCAGUUGGUAGAAAGCUGAAGAUGAACGUCGGUGCGGUUCACUUCAGAGUAAAGGCAGAUGGAAGUUCCACAGACCAAAGGGAGGAGGAGAACGAAAGGGAAGAGAUACUAUAAGCUCAGUGUGAUUAGAGGAGAUUCACAGUCUGAAUCUUUUAAAACUGCCAAACCAAGAGAGCCAUCAGAGGAAAUCCGUUCUGGAUCAGGCCAGCACCUCACCUGCCUGAGGAUGUCAUCUUCAUUUCAGAUGAAUCAAGGUGGACAAAAGCACAAGUAAAAGUGUGUCAGCAGCUGAUCAGAGGUUCACGCGGACUUCAGGAGGCAGACUAACAGGAUCAUGAAGCUCGUGCACGCCUGUACGUGCGCAGACGCCUUCAGACAGAGCUCUAAUUAAUCUUGUUUAGGAGGAGCUCCGGUCACUGCUGACACAGACACUUUUCUGAGAAAGAGACUUUACACUUAAGGCUUGGCAACGUUGGACAGACGCGAGGAAACAAACAGCAGAUUAAGGCACCAAAAGCGACCUGAGGGUCGCUGCACGUGGGCCUGUGCACGCACAAACAAAACAGCAAAUAUAGUAUGAUCAAGAAUA